rnacentral:rRNA from 1 species
GAUGAACGCUGGCGGCGUGCCUAAUACAUGCAAGUCGAGCGAACGGACGAGAAGCUUGCUUCUCUGAUGUUAGCGGCGGACGGGUGAGUAACACGUGGAUAACCUACCUAUAAGACUGGGAUAACUUCGGGAAACCGGAGCUAAUACCGGAUAAUAUUUUGAACCGCAUGGUUCAAAAGUGAAAGACGGUCUUGCUGUCACUUAUAGAUGGAUCCGCGCUGCAUUAGCUAGUUGGUAAGGUAACGGCUUACCAAGGCAACGAUGCAUAGCCGACCUGAGAGGGUGAUCGGCCACACUGGAACGGAGACACGGUCCAGACUCCUACGGGAGGCAGCAGUAGGGAAUCUUACGCAAUGGGCGAAAGCCUGACGGGGCAACGCCGCGUGAGUGAUAAAGGUCUUCGGAUCGUAAAACUCUGUUAUUAGGGAAGAACAUAUGUGUAAGUAACUGUGCACAACUUGACGGUACCUAAUCAGAAAGCCACGGCUAACUACGUG